AGGGAAUGAACAGAGCAGACAAUCAUUGAGUGAUCCAUCCACGGUCAUCCACUCCCUGCUUCUGGAAAACUGAAGCGAGGAGCACUCAGAGAAUGGGGUGUCUACACUUGCGCUGCAUCAGCCUAAGUACAUCAACCAUGGUUCUACGCCGCUCAUGGAGAUUUCAGAACAUCUGCCACUUGUUACCUUGCUGCUCCAGCAAUGCCUAUAUUUCAGGAUCCUGAGAUAGAUGUUCCAUAGACCCAAGGGCUAGGGCAGCAUGGAUCAUAAUGUGGUAUUCAUCCUAUAGUAAGCCAUUUAAACCAAAAACAGUAUUAAAGACCCCAACAGUAAUCCUUGUGUCUCUGUGUAACCUUUACUACAGACAUAAAUUACGACUAGAGAACAAAGACUACUUGGACAGAACCAUGUAGGACAGCCCUGCAGAACCUACCUGCCCCUUGGACCUUCUUAAUGGAGAUUGAGAGAAACCCAGAUUAUAAUACAGGCCUCCAAGAUCUGAACUUCCCCUACAAACCCAAUCUAUGCCCACCUUGGAUAACUGGACUGGGUGCUGGUGACCUCCCCAGGACCAGGUCAGGGAGGAGGAGUCCUUCACGCAGAAGUAUACAAGAAUGAAAUGCUGUGAAUAUACCAGUCAAGGUUUUGCUGAAUGACUGCAUCUGUUUAAAGGCUUCCUGUGCUCCUGAAAGAUAUGCAAAUGUCCAGUUCCCAGCUUCAGUGGUAAGGGGCAUGUGUGUGUAUGUGUUCUGGACAUCACUUGCUCUCUGGACUACAGCAAUGCAAUGAAUCUGGGCAUGAAGCCAGCAGCCCUUAGGAAACUCCAACUAGUACAGAACACUGCAGCAUGACUCCUCAGCACACAGGCCAGCGAGAGCACAGGAGCCUUGUCUUCCAUGUCCUCUGCUGGCUUCCCACAGACUAUCGAGUCCAGUUCCAGGUCUCAGCCUUUGCCUUCAAGGCUCUCAGUGGCCUGGGCCUAGGAUAUUUAAAAUAUCACCUAAUGCUCUGGGAUGAGGACCAUUGUUGACAACUCUACUCCCCAGACACAAUGGAGCUUUCUACCACGGGGUAAAGCUUGUCUGUGCCAGAGACAGUUUUCUCAGGUGAGGUUCACAGACUGUGGAACAAGGAACCAAGAACCAUCAUAAACAUUACCACUUUCUGUACUAAGUGCCAGGUGCACUCCUUCGACCUGCCUUCUCUAACUUAACCACAGAGCGAUGGGUGCAUGUGUUUAAAAAAAAAAAAAUCCCUCAAAGUGUUACUGUGACAGUGUACCCAAUAAGGCUUAAUGGGGUGGGUGUGCUCAUAAAUGUAUGUAUGAUAUAACUGGAAUAGGGUUUUGCUACAUAUGCCAUGUAACAUAUCUAUGUAAAGGUUA